rnacentral:tRNA from 1 species
GGGUGAUUAGCUCAGUUGGUAGAGCAGCUGACUCUUAAUCAGCGGGUCCACGGUUCGAGUCCGUGAUCACCCA